rnacentral:rRNA from 1 species
UACGUAGGGGCCUAGCGUUGUCCGGAUUUAUUGGGCGUAAAGAGCUCGUAGGCGGUCUGUUGCGUCGGCUGUGAAAACCCGGGGCUCAACCCCGGGCCUGCAGCCGAUACGGGCAGACUAGAGUUCGGCAGGGGAGACUGGAAUUCCUGGUGUAGCGGUGAAAUGCGCAGAUAUCAGGAGGAACACCGGUGGCGAAGGCGGGUCUCUGGGCCGAUACUGACGCUGAGGAGCGAAAGCGUGGGGAGCGAACAGG